rnacentral:misc_RNA from 1 species
AAGUUAUUCAGCAGCUAACAGAACUGGACGCGAUAAAAUUCAUCAAUUCUCUCAGGAUAUAUACAGGAUGUAUACACACACGUGUGACACGGAGAGUGCACCGAGAGAGGAGCAUAAUCGGGGAAUGAGUUGUUCCAGGAAACAUCGACAAUCUGAAAAGGACUUUUUUCAACGUCGUCGUACACAGCUUCUGCGGUACGUCAAAAGGGAAAAACAAAUAAUUAUAUACCUAGGCGAACCCACCGAGCUUGUUGUGCAGCGUAAUUAAGGCGCUGCCCAUCCACCUGGAAAAAUUAGAAAAAAAAAAAAGAGGGAAAGAACAGUGAGAGCCAAAAACUUGGUCAAGUUGACACGAAAUGCCUGGAGUAUGGUAUACGUACCGAUAACACACACACACGAGCGUAUUCAAAGUAAAGAGGACUAAUGUCAAAGUGCAAGGAAAAAAAAGGAGAGAACAAAAACUGAUUUCGUGUAGGUUUAUCGAACGCUCAGCUCGUAUAUAUAUACGUGACGGUGUGAACACGUAUACGUAUACGUGAAACCGUCCGUUGGUCAGUCCUUCGAGAAGAGAAACUGAACAACGCCUACCUGAUAUAUGUACGUUAUUUUUACGUACC